rnacentral:rRNA from 1 species
UGAGGAAUAUUGGUCAAUGGGCGGAAGCCUGAACCAGCCAAGUCGCGUGAGGGAAGACGGUCCUAUGGAUUGUAAACCUCUUUUGUCGGGGAGCAAAGAGGCCACGUGUGGUCAAAAGCGAGAGUACCCGAAGAAAAAGCAUCGGCUAACUCCGUGCC